UUUUAACACAGAAGUGAGUGGCGAACGGGUGAGUAACACGUGGGUAACCUGCCCAGAAGUAGGGGAUAACACCUGGAAACAGAUGCUAAUACCGUAUAACAGAGAAAACCGCAUGGUUUUCUUUUAAAAGAUGGCUCUGCUAUCACUUCUGGAUGGACCCGCGGCGUAUUAGCUAGUUGGUGAGGUAAAGGCUCACCAAGGCAUGAUACGUAGCCGACCUGAGAGGGUAAUCGGCCACAUUGGGACUGAGACACGGCCCAGACUCCUACGGGAGGCAGCAGUAGGGAAUCUUCCACAAUGGACGCAAGUCUGAUGGAGCAACGCCGCGUGAGUGAAGAAGGGUUUCGGCUCGUAAAGCUCUGUUGUUAAAAAGAACGUGGGUAAGAGUA
rnacentral:rRNA from 1 species